UGCAAGUCGAGCGGUAAGGCCCUUCGGGGUACACGAGCGGCGAACGGGUGAGUAACACGUGAGCAACCUGCCCCUGACUCCGGGAUAAGCGGUGGAAACGCCGUCUAAUACCGGAUACGACCCUCCACCUCAUGGUGGUGGGUGGAAAGUUUUUCGGUCGGGGAUGGGCUCGCGGCCUAUCAGCUUGUUGGUGGGGUAACGGCCUACCAAGGCGAUUACGGGUAGCCGGCCUGAGAGGGCGACCGGCCACACUGGGACUGAGACACGGCCCAGACUCCUGCGGGAGGCAGCAGUGGGGAAUAUUGCGCAAUGGGCGAAAGCCUGACGCAGCGACGCCGCGUGGGGGAUGACGGCCUUCGGGUUGUAAACCUCUUUUACCACUCACGCAGGCUCCACGUUUUCGUGGGGUUGACGGUAGGUGGGGAAUAAGGACCGGCUAACUACGUGCCAGCAGCCGCGGUAAUACGUAGGGUCCGAGCGUUGUCCGGAAUUAUUGGGCGUAAAGAGCUCGUAGGCGGCGUGUCGCGUCUGCUGUGAAAGACCGGGGCUUAACCCCGGUUCUGCAGUGGAUACGGGCAUGCUAGAGGUAGGUAGGGGAGACUGGAAUUCCUGGUGUAGCGGUGAAAUGCGCAGAUAUCAGGAGGAACACCGGUGGCGAAGGCGGGUCUCUGGGCCUUACCUGACGCUGA
rnacentral:rRNA from 1 species